GGGUUGUGAGGUUAAGCGACUAAGCGUACACGGUGGAUGCCCUGGCAGUCAGAGGCGAUGAAGGGCGUGCUAAUCUGCGAUAAGCGCCGGUAAGGUGAUAUGAACCGUUAUAACCGGCGAUACCCGAAUGGGGAAACCCAGUGUGAUUCGUCACACUAUCAUUAACUGAAUCCAUAGGUUAAUGAGGCGAACCGGGGGAACUGAAACAUCUAAGUACCCCGAGGAAAAGAAAUCAACCGAGAUUCCCCCAGUAGCGGCGAGCGAACGGGGAGGAGCCCAGAGCCUGAAUCAGCAUGUGUGUUAGUGGAAGCGUCUGGAAAGGCGCGCGAUACAGGGUGACAGCCCCGUACACAAAAGCGUAUGUGCUGUGAGCUCGAUGAGUAGGGCGGGACACGUGGUAUCCUGUCUGAAUAUGGGGGGACCAUCCUCCAAGGCUAAAUACUCCUGACUGACCGAUAGUGAACCAGUACCGUGAGGGAAAGGCGAAAAGAACCCCGGCGAGGGGAGUGAAAAAGAACCUGAAACCGUGUACGUACAAGCAGUGGGAGCACCCUUUGGGGUGUGACUGCGUACCUUUUGUAUAAUGGGUCAGCGACUUAUAUUCUGUAGCAAGGUUAACCGAAUAGGGGAGCCGGAGGGAAACCGAGUCUUAAUUGGGCGUUAAGUUGCAGGGUAUAGACCCGAAACCCGGUGAUCUAGCCAUGGGCAGGUUGAAGGUUGGGUAACACUAACUGGAGGACCGAACCGACUAAUGUUGAAAAAUUAGCGGAUGACCUGUGGCUGGGGGUGAAAGGCCAAUCAAACCGGGAGAUAGCUGGUUCUCCCCGAAAGCUAUUUAGGUAGCGCCUCGUGAAUUCAUCUCCGGGGGUAGAGCACUGUUUCGGCUAGGGGGUCAUCCCGACUUACCAACCCGAUGCAAACUGCGAAUACCGGAGAAUGUUAUCACGGGAGACACACGGCGGGUGCUAACGUCCGUCGUGAAGAGGGAAACAACCCAGACCGCCAGCUAAGGUCCCAAAGUCAUGGUUAAGUGGGAAACGAUGUGGGAAGGCCCAGACAGCCAGGAUGUUGGCUUAGAAGCAGCCAUCAUUUAAAGAAAGCGUAAUAGCUCACUGGUCGAGUCGGCCUGCGCGGAAGAUGUAACGGGGCUAAACCAUGCACCGAAGCUGCGGCAGCGACACUCA
rnacentral:rRNA from 1 species